GACAGAGGGUGCAAACGUUGUUCGGAAUCACUGGGCGUAAAGCGUGUGUAGGCGGCCAUAUAAGUCGGAUGUGAAAGCCCUGGGCUCAACCCAGGAAGUGCACCCGAAACUGUGUGGCUUGAGUACUGGAGAGGUUGGUGGAAUUCUCGGUGUAGAGGUGAAAUUCGUAGAUAUCGAGAGGAACACCGGUGGCGAAGGCGGCCAACUGGGCAGAUACUGACGCUGAGGCGCGAAAGCGUGGGGAGCAAACAGG
rnacentral:rRNA from 1 species